GCUUUUAUAGCUCGGUGGUAGAGUAUCAGUUUUGUAAAUUGAAGGUCAUAGUUCAAUCCUGCAUGGAGGCA
rnacentral:tRNA from 1 species